UGAGUAAUAUAUCGGAACGUACCCAAGAGUGGGGGAUAACGUAGCGAAAGUUACGCUAAUACCGCAUACGAUCUACGGAUGAAAGCAGGGGACCGCAAGGCCUUGUGCUCCUGGAGCGGCCGAUAUCUGAUUAGCUAGUUGGUAGGGUAAAGGCCUACCAAGGCAUCGAUCAGUAGCUGGUCUGAGAGGACGACCAGCCACACUGGAACUGAGACACGGUCCAGACUCCUACGGGAGGCAGCAGUGGGGAAUUUUGGACAAUGGGCGCAAGCCUGAUCCAGCCAUGCCGCGUGUGUGAAGAAGGUCUUCGGAUUGUAAAGCACUUUAAGUUGGGAGGAAGGGCAUUAACCUAAUACGUUAGUGUUUUGACGUUACCGACAGAAUAAGCCCCGG
rnacentral:rRNA from 1 species